UAUUGGUCAAUGGAGGCAACUCUGAACCAGCCAUGCCGCGUGCAGGAUGACGGUCCUAUGGAUUGUAAACUGCUUUUGUACGGGAAGAAAUGUAAUUACGUGUAAUUAUUUGACGGUACCGUAAGAAUAAGGAUCGGCUAACUCCGUGCCAGCAGCCGCGGUAAUACGGAGGAUCCGAGCGUUAUCCGGAAUUAUUGGGUUUAAAGGGUUCGUAGGCGGUUGAGUAAGUCAGUGGUGAAAUCUUAUAGCGUAACUAUAAAAUUGCCGUUGAUACUGCUUACUUGAAUAGAUGGAAGAAUAGAAUAUGAGUGAGCGGUAAAUGCUAGAAUACAUGAAUCCAAUUGCGAGGCAGUUCACGUCUUUUGCGCUGAGCAGAUAGAUUGG
rnacentral:rRNA from 1 species